CUCCACGACGAGACGGUAGCUUCAGUCUUUACUAAGUUUUAACAAAAUUAUAACAACUCUUUUCUAAAAUAAAACAUGUCUUAGUAAGUAUGGGUUUUGUUCUAGUUCUGUCGUCUUCUUUUAUAACUUUUCUUUACCAACCGUUCUAAGGUAAAAACGUCCAUCCUUUCAUCAACGUCUUUUUCCCUCUCCUUUCUUCCCAGGCCUCCCGUUCACCAGGUCAACUCCCAUUGGCCACAACUUAACAGGCGACCUUAUUGGUCAAAACGUACACUUCAAAGUAAAACGAACUAUUCACUUAUACGUUAAAUAAAUAUUUCUACAAAAAGCAUAAUGCAUUAACAACAUUACAGUUUAGGAGCAAUUCAAUCAUCUUUUAAAUAUAUAACCAAUUAAUUAUAACAAAUAAACUCAAUACCUGGUUCAAACAAGGGUAUUACAUUCACUUCAGUUGUCUGCCGAUGAUUCACUGACGUUUUUUCAAAGGAGAUUUUAGUAUUACCUCUAAAUAGCCUACAACAAUAAGCUACACAUCAUGUCAGACAACAGCAAGAGCGUGAAAUGGGAGGAUUCCCCGGAUGAUCAAAAUAAAGUUGUGGAGAAUAUGAAGGAUGAAACAGAGACACAUGAGACCUACAAGAACAGGACAGGAGGCAAGGUAGGAAAUAUGCUGUCCUUUACACAUCCUCUGCCUACUUAGGCACAGAUCUAGGAUUAGUUUACUAUCACUAAAUCCUAACCUUAAAGCAUUAGGAGGAAACGCUACACUGACCUUAGAUCUGCUAUGAGACCUAUGAUCUGUUGUCAUGUAGGCUAAACGUAAGUCCAGUGGCCGUGCCAAGAAGACUUCCGUGGAGAAGGACAGCAGCAUUGGUGCAGAGUCUUCUCAGACACCCGGGUGUGGUUUCCGGGAAAGGGGAUCUAUCAUUGAGCAGCUGGAGAAGGAGGCUCAGAGGACUCUAAUGCCUUCUCUCAAGAUUGGGACAUGCUGUGCCCCAAUCCUCCUCUCCUUCCUGAGGAGUCUAACUGAUGAGCAAGUCCCAUGUCUUUCUCCAACCUCACAUACAACAACUCUGAAUUUAUAGUCAUAGUGCACCUUCUAACCACAAAUGUGAUUUCAAACACUACACCUAACCCUAACAUCACCUUAACCACACCCCUAACUCUUCCUGUAAAUCAAGAGCAAAAUGGCUCAUGUACUUGCUAAUAGCUUAAUUAAAUACACUUUUAUUUUCCCUAACAUGGCUAUCUAGUGACUCCACUAACUCAACACCAGUGUGCAGCUAAAAUAUGUUUCCUUUCUUUUCUUUUCUCUAGCCAAUGGAGAGUGAUUCAGCAUGGCAUGAAAAAUAACCUCACAUUCGAGCAGCUCUCCAUGCUGUGUCUGAAGAUUGUUAAGGUCGUGACCCAGACAGCCCUUCGCAUUCUCCUACCAGCGCUAGCUCGUAUCAUGGGUGUGGACCUGAGGAGUGGGGCAGCCUCCCCAGAAUCCCAGUGCUCUCUGACAGGGUCUGAGGAUUCCUUAGGCAGUCUGGAUGAGCGAGAGAAAAGGCUGCUGAUCAGUGAGAUGAACUACUGGACUAAGGAGAGGAGGAAGAAUGGCAGUGCAGGGUGCCGCCAAAAAUCCACUCGCAGAACCUCAUCACCAUGCUGGUCGCCUAAGAGGUAUGUUCACAGCAAUAUUUCAACUUAAUAAUUGCAAGACCUGACCCAUACUUAUCAUAAAUUAUUAACUUGGAAUUCAUACCUUGUAGUAUAAGUUCUGGUCAGAAAUGUUGCCCCUGAG